UGGCAGUCGUCCUAUGAGGCAGCAAACACUUCUGUUAUUGGUAGGGCAGCUCUUCUUCGGAAAGUAGCUGGCAAUGUAGAAAAGAACCUCACCAUAUUAGGUGCCUCUGGUAUUGAAGAUAAAUUGCAGGAAGGUGUACCAGAAGCUAUUGAGUCCUUAAGAGUGGCAGGCAUUAAAGUUUGGGUUUUGACUGGGGACAAGCAAGAGACUGCAAUUUCAAUUGGCUAUUCCUCGAAACUUUUAACGAACAGUAUGACUCAGAUUGUGAUAAAUAACAAA
rnacentral:misc_RNA from 1 species